AUGGCUUCUUUAAAUCCAAAGCAAAAAACUUCUUCUCUCAUCAAAACAACAGUCAAGACUAAAUCCAAACAUAUUUACAAGCUAAAAAAAAUGAUAAGAAAACAAAAGAACCUGAAUCACUGUUUUAGAUCUAACGGCGCCGUUGGGGUGUUCGCGAGUGGCUUUGACCAGUCGAUGGAGGGCGGAGGUGCGGUCCGAACGCGAUUCGUUCUUCUUUCUCGUUUCAGAUCCAAACUUGCUUUGUUCUGA